AGCAAAAAACAGGGACGGUGGUAGCGAAAAAUUAGAACUGGUUUCAGCAAAAAAAAUAGACGAGCGGUAGCAAAAAUCAAAAAGAUAAUGGUAGCAAAAAUCAUAGACGGUGGUAGCAAAAUUAGAGCUGCUUCUAGCAAAAAACAUCUCAAAUUACAGAUCCUAGCAAAGAAAGUCGCUGAUUCCAGCAAAACAAAAGAACAGUUGUAGCAAAAAAGGCCGCUGGUUGUAGCUCCUGCCAAGGCCGGUUCCAGCCUCUCGUGCCCGUCGUAGCACAACGUAGCCGCCGUUCAAGCACAUCGGCCUGGGCUUGCAGCAGCCACACCUCUUGAUUCCAGCUUUAGACAACGGUUGCAGCACUGCCCCCUGCCGGUUCCAACACCGUCUGGCCUGGAGCUUGCACCACGUCAUGGUAGCAGCAGCGAGGGGUCGUCGGCACCUAUGCAGCGAAGGUGAUUGGCGGAGGAGCAGGAGCUCGAUGAACCCCCGAGGGCGGAAAAAGAGAGGAGGUGAUGUGUGUUGCACCGGGCCGACGAGCUGCCAUGGCCGGCCGGCACAGCCUGUCGCCGGUGGGGGAGGGCAGGCACCUACGGAUGGAAGAG
rnacentral:rRNA from 1 species